UACGUAGGGUGCGAGCGUUAAUCGGAAUUACUGGGCGUAAAGCGUGCGCAGGCGGCGCGUUAAGACAGGUGUGAAAUCCCCGGGCUUAACCUGGAACUGCAUUUGUGACUGCAUUGCUGGAGUGCGGCAGAAGGGAUGGAAUUCCGCGUGUAGCAGUGAAUGCGUAGAUAUGCGGAGGAACACCGAUAGCGAAGGCAGCUCGCUGGACGGUACUGACGCUGAGCGCGAAGCGUGGGAGCGAACAGG
rnacentral:rRNA from 1 species